GUUUGGCCGAGUGGUUAAGGCGUGGGACUUGAAAUCCCA
rnacentral:tRNA from 1 species